rnacentral:rRNA from 1 species
UGGAAGCGUCUGGAAAGUCGCACGGUACAGGGUGAAAGUCCCGUACACGAAAACGCACAGGCUGUGAGCUCGAUGAGUAGGGCGGGACACGUGGUAUCCUGUCUGAAUAUGGGGGGACCAUCCUCCAAGGCUAAAUACUCCUGACUGACCGAUAGUGAACCAGUACCGUGAGGGAAAGGCGAAAAGAACCCCGGCGAGGGGAGUGAAAAAGAACCUGAAACCGUGUACGUACAAGCAGUGGGAGCCUCUUUUAUGGGGUGACUGCGUACCUUUUGUAUAAUGGGUCAGCGACUUAUAUUCUGUAGCAAGGUUAACCGUAUAGGGGAGCCGAAGGGAAACCGAGUCUUAACUGGGCGUUAAGUUGCAGGGUAUAGACCCGAAACCCGGUGAUCUAGCCAUGGGCAGGUUGAAGGUUGGGUAACACUAACUGGAGGACCGAACCGACUAAUGUUGAAAAAUUAGCGGAUGACCUGUGGCUGGGGGUGAAAGGCCAAUCAAACCGGGAGAUAGCUGGUUCUCCCCGAAAGCUAUUUAGGUAGCGCCUCGUGAACUCAUCUCCGGGGGUAGAGCACUGUUUCGGCUAGGGGGCCAUCCCGGCUUACCAACCCGAUGCAAACUGCGAAUACCGGAGAAUGUUAUCACGGGAGACACACGGCGGGUGCUAACGUCCGUCGUGAAGAGGGAAACAACCCAGACCGCCAGCUAAGGUCCCAAAGUCAUGGUUAAGUGGGAAACGAUGUGGGAAGGCCCAGACAGCCAGGAUGUUGGCUUAGAAGCAGCCAUCAUUUAAAGAAAGCGUAAUAGCUCACUGGUCGAGUCGGCCUGCGCGGAAGAUGUAACGGGGCUAAACCAUGCACCGAAGCUGCGGCAGCGACGCUUAUG